rnacentral:lncRNA from 1 species
UGAAGGGUAAGGAUGUGGACCAUCAAAAGGGGUAGAGCUACUGUUUGUCAAGAAUGUGCAAUGCAAAGUGAUUCUUGGAAUACAAUAAAGUAACAGGAGCUUCUGGUUUUAUUUUACAGUCUGCUGACUUGAGAGACAGCCUGUAUGUCCAUUGCGUGGGCCACACGGGACAAGGAAAGAGGCAGUAUGCAUAAGCCUGCAAAGUGGAUCCCAAAAGAUUCUUACACUGUGUUUCCCAGUGGAAAGAAAUUCACCAGAAGACAGAAGAAAUGGAUGACACAUUUUACUUCUUCUCCUAGAUCUGACAUUGGAUUCUUUCAAGGCUUGCUGGACUAAUACUCAGUUGAAGCAUGAGGCUGAUGUUUACUUUUAGUCAAGAAAAAUAUAUAUGGUCAGUAUUUAAGUUCUCAAGAGAGAAAACAGGAAAAUUUCUGGGACACUAG